CGCAGGGCUCAAACUCACGGACUUCGAGAUCAUGGCCUGAGCUGAAGUCUGGAGCUUAACCAACUGAGCCACCCAGGUGCCCCCCUGUUACUUUUCAUUAAUUCACCCUUGCUUCAGCUUUAACAAAAGUUAGAAGCACUUCGGGAUCUUCUCGGAAAACUGUUCGUGAGAAGUCCAAAUUUAUUCCUUUUGCCUUUUCUCAGCACCUGGUUGCACUCAUCCUAAAAAAGAUUGAAACCUCUCCAGGGGAGCCAGCCUCACAGUGUAAGGCCUUUACCUCAAGGUCAGGAAUGAAAAGAUUCCUACCCAGCUCUUCACAAUUGUAUGUAACCUUCCUGGAAGCCCUCCACACUGAGGCCACCACGGCUUCUGGAGGAAACUGUUCCCUCACAGUGUCCCCCAGCAUUAAGGUGAAUUUCUCUUUUAUAAUUUUCAAGCAUUGCUUCUCUGAAGUGAGGGGAGAAAGUGGCAGAAGGAAAGGAGGUUUUCACAGGGGUGUUCAAUGGAUAGAGUUAAGGAAACUGAGUAUCGGGUCAGUCGGUAGUGGUGUUUGCUUAGGAUUAGGUGCUAUUAGGACUCUCCUGGCUGUGGGCAGCAAAAGCCCCAAACUUGGACUAUCUUUACACCGCAAAGGGGAUUUUCCAGGAAGCUCUCAGGAUAUCCGGCCUAUUUGCAGGAAGAGGUGUGCCGCCAUCUUGCAGGAAGGGAGUAGCGCCUCAGGCUUGUAGGACGCCAUGCUUCCAGAACUCUCACUGCGCCCUCUGUUUCCUUCCCUUCUCGCACAACUGCUACUCCCGCAGGCGAGAAACACUCCUGCUGGCUCUCGUAUCUCCUGCUUCUCAAGGCGCUUCCGGCAAUGCCAAGAAACCACUCAUGAGCCCACCUCCAGGUGGCUGCAGGGAGCGGGGCUCGUGUUGGAACUGUGGCAGCUCCCAUGGAAGGCCGUGGUUGGAGCAGGAGAUGGGACAACAACUAGAAGACAGCAGGUCCUAUUCCCAGAAGGCAGUGGUCCCACAGACAAAAGAACCGUGCAUCCCAGGGUCACCCCUGGGCCAUCUUAAAACAGAAACAGCCAGUGAAGGUCUGUAGGAGGCUGUUUGAAUGCUCUCUCUGCCACACAGUUGCUGGGAGCCCCUGACCAUUAAAGAAUAUGGCCUCUACCCACCUUUCUGGGCUUAUUUCUUCCAACACCCUCCAACAGCCAUCUGAGGUGCUGAGGCCUGGCCUCACCAUCCCCCCUCGAUCUCCUCUGCUCUCACAGCACUGGUCCCAUGCAACAGUCACAGUGCUCAGCCGGUAGUGCCUGUCCAUGUAUUUUCUUCCCACCAGACUGUAAACUCAGCAACGGCAGAAAGAAUGUUCAGCUCAUCUUCGUGCCCCACGGCCUGGCUCACAGAAGGGACAGGAAGAGUUCAAGGACUUCAUCACUGAUUCCUCAUAAAAACGGUCAGGUAGUUUCAAAGGGAAGAAACCCCCACGGUGGAACACAGACAUGGGCCCCAUCGGCCGGCUGUUCCAGCGGCCUGACACCGAUAAGUUCACGGUUCUCGCCAGACCAGCAUCUCUUUCGACCGACUUUGCUGUGGGUCCCCUACGUAAAAAGUGAAUGAGGUCUUCCUCUGUCUUGUUCUGUGUCCUGAGAGCCUGGCUUUGUGACCAGUGAGAGUAUUCCUGCUGGCAUCCACCAUCUAGAAGGUACAUGUACCACCGUGCAUCUGGUGGCCAGUCCAAGAGACUGGGGAUCCGAGACACGAGGUCACAGGCAGUGGUCUCUUUGUCCUUCCAUGCCGGCUCUCAGGGGAGUUUGUUAUUAGGGGUCCCAGCCUAUAGGGGGCCUUUGUCACCCCAACUUUCAUUAUUUUGAAAUAAUGUUAGAAAAGCCCCAUAAGCCCCGUUCCUGGGGCACCUGCCCCAUGUCACAGAUUAGCGGGUCUGUGACUGCAGGCGUCUCAUGUUCCCAUGACAGACCAGAGACACCGUUUUCACUACACUGUUCGCCUGUGACAACAAAGGUCUGUGCUUUCAUAGGGUAACUCCGGGAGACUUUGGAUUGUGGGGGCACUGUUUUGGAGAUGCCACUUGCAUCCAUGACUAAGACUUACUGAUUUAUUCUAAGCCUCGGAAGUUACCUCCAGGUCUUUCCAUUAAAAAGGCUUAUUGGAUUGAGCCACAUUUGGAAUAAAUAUACUAACGGAGACCCCA